UCCAAGGAAGGCAGCAGGCGCGCAAAUUACCCAAUCCCGAUUCGGGGAGGUAGUGACAAUAAAUACUGAUACAGGGCUCUUUUGGGUCUUGUAAUUGGAAUGAGUACAAUUUAAAUCCCUUAACGAGGAACAAUUGGAGGGCAAGUCUGGUGCCAGCAGCCGCGGUAAUUCCAGCUCCAAUAGCGUAUAUUAAAGUUGUUGCAGUUAAAAAGCUCGUAGUUGAACCUUGGGUUUGGCUGCUCGGUCCGCCUAACCGCGUGAACUGAUGCGGCCGGAUCUUUCCUUCUGGCCAACCUCAUGCCCUUUAUUGGGUGUGCUGGGGAUCCAGGACUUUUACUUUGAAAAAAUUAGAGUGUUCAAAGCAGGCCUUUGCUCGAAUACAUUAGCAUGGAAUAAUAGAAUAGGACGGAGGUUCUAUUUUGUUGGUUUCUAGAGCCACCGUAAUGAUUAAUAGGGACAGUCGGGGGCAUCAGUAUUCAAUUGUCAGAGGUGAAAUUCUUGGAUUUAUUGAAGACUAACUACUGCGAAAGCAUUUGCCAAGGAUGUUUUCAUUAAUCAGUGAACGAAAGUUAGGGGAUCGAAGACGAUCAGAUACCGUCGUAGUCUUAACCAUAAACUAUGCCGACUAGGGAUCGGGCGGUGUUCAACUUAUGACCCGCUCGGCACCUUACGAGAAAUCAAAGUUUUUGGGUUCUGGGG
rnacentral:rRNA from 1 species